UACAGAGGUCCCAAGCGUUGUUCGGAUUCACUGGGCGUAAAGGGUGCGUAGGCGGUCGGGUAAGUCUGAUGUGAAAUCUCACAGCUUAACUGUGAAACUGCAUUGGAUACUAUCCGGCUCGAGGAAUGGAGGGGAGACUGGAAUACUUGGUGUAGCAGUGAAAUGCGUAGAUAUCAAGUGGAACACCAGUGGCGAAGGCGGCCUGCUGGGCAGUAGCUGACGCUGAUGCGCGACAGCGUGGGGAGCAAACAGG
rnacentral:rRNA from 1 species